AAUAUUUCAUAACGUAAUUGAGAUGGAGAUUAAUCGAAAUAUUAGGUACCAAUCUGACUAAUAUUGAAAAUAACUUCAAAUGGGAUUAUAUGCGUUUCUAUUGACUUCAAACGAAAUUUUCGGAUAGGAAUAGCGACCAACGUUAAAUUAGAGACUCGAAAGCGAUCCGACCUAAUUAAUUUAUUCGCAUGUGGAGAACGCAUCGUUAUUGAUUGAUUAGCAGACGCGGCCUAAACCGCGGAAUAAUUUUCAUUUCACAUAUAGGGGGAAAUACUCAGACACGACAUGUUCGUUUUUACCGACCGAACCCGACGCGGACGAAUCUUUUUUCGUUUUUCGGCGCGCGAAACCGUGGCGCAAAGGAAGAAGAAGGGGAGAGACGUAGUAGAGUAUGAUGACAGCGGAAAGACACGACCACCAUAGAGAGAAUGUCGAUCUCGUUUUUGCGAACGGUUGGAAGACACGCGGAAUGGACGUUUGUCGAUAUCGUUUACACGAACGACACGUACGUAUAAGUUACGAUGAUGUGAGGCAGAUCCAUUAGACUAUGCAAUUGUCCACGUAUUGCAUUGUCAGCCACCAUAGAGAUUUCUAUUCAGAAAUCGCGGAAGUCCCCGGAUGCAUUGACGAGAGGUAGAGGAUGAUCGAGGACCGCUCUUGUUGCGAGAAGGAAAGAGACACGAGAGAGACGGAAUAUCAUGAUCGACCAGGAUACUGGUUACUCGUAUUUCCCUUUUUUCUCCUAAUUGUCAUGCCUGAUAUUCGUUUCUACAGAAAUCAAGAAUCUUUUCUACUGUGCAUAUAUUAGAAAUUGUCAGAAAUUUUAUUUUAAUUGACAUUACAUUACUAUAAAACUAAUUCGAUUUCUUAGAAAAACCAUCUCUUUCAUUCAUCAAUUUUUCUACAUUGAUGAAAUCGUAACAAGAUUCUUCGAAUAAUCGAACAAAAGCUUUCGGUCCCCUAAUUAACCCAGUUCAAAGAUCCCGUGUCGGUGAAAUGAAUCUUUGUUACGCCCCGAUUCGCUUCUGUGGAAACACACGCACGCCGCUUGAUCGAGGGUGAACACGGGUUUGAAUAAAAAGCUUUUUACAUGACCAGGAGAAAUAAAAGAGCGCGCGUGAGAGGAAAGGAAGAAAAAUCUCGGAUUUCCCGUUCUGCUACGCGCCCUUGUCUUUUGCCCUCUCGAGUUUCCUGGAUCGUUCUUACCACGCCCAGCAAUUUGCCUUGUGCUACAACUUUGCGAUCGAUUAUUCCUCGAUUAUGGUGUAACGAGAUAUCCAAUCGUAAUAUCUACGUGGUACACACGGCCAUUAUUCGAUUGGGAAACCAAUAUUUUCUUACGUUUUGUUAAUAUCCCGAUUUCCAUGUACCUGUGGGCCUAUCGUGAAACAAUUAUAUCCUCCCUACAUCAUUUCAAGUUACACAAUGUACGAGUAUUGUAUGAUUACAACCAAUGAUUGACAAGGAAAGGAUACGAAGGAUUGAAACGCACAAAAGCUUAAUUCUCUAUCCGGGAUCCAUGAAUUUUCUAUCUAAAUGGAACAUUUAUACGAAGCAUCGGUGGUUUUAUUUAAAUACCCGAGAAGAAUUCAGUGGCCAAAAAAUCGGCGAACCGUAAAGAAAGAUUCACGGAUAAAAAGGGGAUCCGUUUGAUCGCGGACCAGCGCUUGAAGCGUGGUGAAAAACCAGUCCCGACCGUAUCACUCCGUUUCUUUGGUCAGGAUCGGGCCAAACAAUUAAACUCGAAUGAGAAAAUCUCUUUUGAUGACGAUGCACCGCGAUGAACGCACGACGGACAUAUUAGUAUAAUAAGCGACGAUCUGUGUACGCAUAUAUAGAUUAUGGCAACAAAGAGGACGAAUGAAAGAAACGACAGAGAUAGCAGUAGCAAUGAUGAAAAGAAUUAGAUGUACAGAUAUACACGCCACCACAUUGCGUAUGAGUGUGGCGACGAGAAGAACCAAUUGGUCUGCGAUCACGAACACACAUGCACAUAUACAAACUACGGAAGGAAGCAAGAGCGGAAAAAGUGAAGAAAUGAGAGGGAUAAGGAAAGCAGAUCGAAGGAAGGAGGAAGGGAAUCCAAUAUAACUGCACACACGUUUAUAGGGUCGAUGGGAAUAUAUUGGAGCGGAUAUUGAAAUACUUGUUGGUAGUUUGAGUCGAAGGCGAGAGAUGCCUUUCUCGAUGCCAUCUUGAUUGCGCAAUCGAGGCAUCGGUCCACGAGUACAGAAUUUAACGAUAAAGAUCGUACGGAUUAUAGAAUCCUAGACGGGGAACAAAGUCCCCUUCCUACCUAUCCUCCUUUCCCAGGUUUUGUGCCUUUAUCGGUAUUAUGAACCUCAACUUCUUGUUGUUUGCCACAUCAUUUCCUUAAACGAGAUGUUAUGUUACAAUUACAUUUGGCAAUCUAACUUCGUCAUAUAUUUUUAAAAAUAUAUUUUGUUUAUAUUGUAAAUAAGUAAUAUGGAUUCUAUUCACUUAU
rnacentral:lncRNA from 1 species